UAUAGAUACCACCUCUCUGCAAACAGACAGUGAUAAGAUAAUAAAUAUAUAUGUUUUGCUUUUCCCUUAAUUCACUUUUUUUUUUGUUUUAGUCUAAGAUUAGUCAUAAUGGAAGGCAAAUGGUUCGUAAGUGUGCCAAGUGGCCAGCGUCUGGACAACAGGCAUGGCUCUGCAUUAAUGUGCCUCAGCGUGGCAUUUCCUGGCAUAAAAUAACACUUCAAAACUCUGCCUGUCUGCUACAUGCCUGAUCUUAUCAAGUUUAUCUUUCGUGGAGGUGGAGAUAGGCAUCUGGAGGCCAAUUAUUCUCAAAGCCUCUAAUGUAAACACACUGCCUUUUUUGCCAGCCUCCCCUUUUUGAAAGCCCUCUCACACACACAACGAGCCUGGGGAGGCAUGGGAAAUAAGCGCAUGUGUGUGAGAGAGAGGGUGUGUGUGUGUGUGUGUGUGUGUGUGUGUGUGUGUGUGUGGGGGAGUGAGCGAGAGAGCGAGUGAGAGUGUUUACAUUUCCCCCAGAGCUUAUCACUGUUGGCAUGUUAGAUGGAGGAGUUCUGUCUCACCUUGAACUUGCUGGUGUCUGGGAAAGGCCCUUGCUCUGGGUAAGAUAAGCCCAUAUCCUGCCAUCCCCACCCCCCUUCCAUGUUCCUACUGCUGCCUGAACACUGUCAUGGGGGGCAUGGGCCCUGCCGUGAACACUCCCCUGCACGCAUGAGAAAUCUCAGCUCAGUCGCUGCAUCUCUCGCCCACCGGCCCCCUCAGUCAUGUUAUCCUCUUUCAUGUGUUUUUCCACCACACUGUUUUCAGGUCAGUUUUUGUUUCACCCUCACUUACACCGUCUCUCCUGACGUGCAUAUCUUGCAUGCAGAUUCUAUCUGUCUCUUUCAUCUCCUUUGUUGAGCCCUCCACCACUUUCUCCCCCUCCCCCCCGUCUCUCUCUGUGGCACACACCACUCCGGUCCAUCUAAAUGCAGCUCCAUUAUAUUUAGUCUUAUUUAUGUUGCCUAAAAAGCCCCGUGUCACCCCCCU
ensembl:lncRNA